GAUGAACGCUAGCGGCAGGCCUAAUACAUGCAAGUCGAACGGUGUCUUCGGACAUAGUGGCGCACGGGUGCGUAACACGUAUGCAACCUACCUUACAUUGGGGGAUAGCCUUUCGAAAGGGAGAUUAAUACCGCAUAAGACAGUAGCUGGGCAUCCAGCAGCUGUUAAAGAUUUAUCGAUGUAAGCUGGGCAUGCGUCCAAUUAGCUAGUUGGUGAGGUAACGGCUCACCAAGGCAAUGAUUGGUAGGGGAACUGAGAGGUCAAUCCCCAACACUGGCACUGAGAUACGGGCCAGACUCCUACGGGAGGCAGCAGUAGGGAAGAUUGGGCAAUGGACGCAAGUCUGACCCAGCCAUGCCGCGUGCAGGAUGAAGGCGUUAUGCGUUGUAAACUGCUUUUAUACAGGAAGAAACGACUCUUGCGAGAGGCAUUGACGGUACUGUAUGAAUAAGCACCGGCUAACUCCGUGCCAGCCGCCGCGGUAACAC
rnacentral:rRNA from 1 species